rnacentral:rRNA from 1 species
UACGUAGGGGGCGAGCGUUGUCCGGAUUCAUUGGGCGUAAAGAGCUCGUAGGUGGCCAACUAAGUCAGACGUGAAAUCCCUCAGCUUAACUGGGGAACUGCGUCUGAUACUGGUUGGCUUGAGUGCAGGAGAGGAAUGCGGAAUUCCAGGUGUAGCGGUGAAAUGCGUAGAUAUCUGGAGGAACACCGGUGGCGAAGGCGGCAUUCUGGACUGCAACUGACACUGAUGAACGAAAGCCAGGGGAGCAAACGGG